rnacentral:rRNA from 1 species
CAGCAGAAAAGGAAACUCAAAGAAAUUGACGGGACACGAAUGGAUUGACGGGAACUCAAAGAAAUUGACGGGGCGUGUGCCAGCAGCCGCAACUCAAAUAAAUUGACGGGACGUGUGCCAGCAGCCGCAUAGCAACUGUGCCAGCAGCCGCCAACUCAAAUGAAUUGACGGGAAUCACUAGU